GGACCCAACAGGCACAUCUGUACAUACUUACACAGACACAACACACAUACACUUUAUCCAGCUUGUUAAUAGUUAACAUUUUAUAGCAAAUGAUUUAAAAAUAUCAUAAGCCUAUUUUGAAAAACAUGGAAAAUACACAAAAAUUAAAUAGCAGGAGAAAAAAUCAUCUAAUCCUACCAUUUAAAGUUACCACUGUCAACAUGUGUAAACUAUUUUCUUACGCUCAAGUUGUUCUGUGUUUUAAAAUAGUUUUUUAACAACUCUCCCUAGAUAGCUUUUUAUGCCAUUUUGGCUUUUUACUCAGUAUUAAAGCAAAGUCAUUAUUUCAUCCUAUGUCAUAGCCAACAUCCUGGUUCCUUACUUUUCUAUUCUGGAUCUCGCUCUGGAACUGCCAAUUUUUGUCUUUCUAUUCAGAAAGCUUAACACAUGUUCUCAUCUUAGUGUGAGACAACUCCCAGGCUCCAGAGGGAGAAAAGGGAACUGCUCCCAUGUUAUACAAGGCGUGUAGUAAAUAAUUCUCUCCAACAAAGGCAGUGCCCUUCCUAAGAGAAAUUGUGGGCAUAUCAAUCUUCCUAUCUCAUUAUUCUUAAAAGAAAAAAAAUAUGCGCCUUAACUUGUAUGCUACUUAACUGAGACCUACAGUCAUAAAUUCAUUUUAAGUAAGACUCAACAUGCAGUAAAUGGUCAAAAAUACAUUAUGGAGCACAGUCCAAGGUCAAUUCCAGUUCAAAUAAACAUGGGCAACACACAUAUUGAUAAUUUUUUAACCUCAAAAUAAUUGAAUUUUGAUCCUGAGCUAAAACAUUGCACGCUCUGAUGGGCUGGAUAUGCGUCUGUUCAGAUCACCAUGGUGGUCACAUUUAGGACCCAAGUCCUAAGAAAACCCCUCCACUAAAAGGUGCCUUCCUUACCUCCGAGGAAGCAGCUGAAGGUUGGCAUUGCUAGAUCGGAUCCCUGAGCUCCUGUCUGUGAAUCCAAAUGUCCUCAAAGGCACCUUCUGACCCUGAUGACAGGUGUCUUAGUCACAUCUACCAUGGAGAUUUAAAUCGCAAAUUAAUUUCCUAUGUUUGGCUUGCAGCUUGUUUGUUCUUUAGUUCCUUUAUUAUAGCAGGUCUGUUCUGUCAAGGCUAUGUGAUAAAUAUGCUUUUUGCCCAGCCCAAUAAUCUUUAUCACCAACAAAGACGAUAAUUUAUUUCACACUUCAUUACAGCUAUCAUUUAGUGAAUUAUUUUCAAUGUUCAUCUUAAAGUAUCAGUAGAUAUUUAUAAACACACGCAGGGUGUAAGAAUAUCGCCUUCUUUUUUUUUCCUCAGCAGACUAUCUGAUAUUUCCUAGCUAAUGAGAGAUUAAAUGAGAAACCUGAUCACUGCAUGGAUCAUCUCUGCCUGUAAAGUAUUGUUGAUAUUCUCCAUUCCAACAUCAUUGCAAAAUGAGGCUAAAGCCCCAGGCAGGGUGUAGCCUAAAUUUACAGACUAUCAAUAUCACAUUUUUCAUUUACAUCAAAGGCUUAGUUACCCAGAAGUCCUCUAAAACUCUCUUAUGGUUAUGCUGCUCUUUCCCUCACAAAUCUGCAGUGGUUUCCAUUGUUUGAAUGGAGAUGGUGACUAUUUCCUUCCCUGAACUGGAAUAGAACUAAAUUUCUGAAUCAAGUACUAGGCAUUUAGUAAAUAUUGAAACUAAUGUUUUAAUGACAAUAUGUAAAUACUGAAACUAAUGUUUUUAAUUACAGUGAAAUCUAUAUAUUCUACUUCUCCAGUUACAUUAUAGACUCAUUGAAGCUAGGUGUGCUACUCUUUAUAGGCAUCUAGAAGUAGUUGGAAAGAUGAAAACUCUUAGUGAUUUUUGGCUACUAUUAAAGGCAUUUGGCAAGAGAUUACAGGGAAAAGAAAAGAUCACAGGAAAAAAAUGGCCAUUUUGUAAACAGACCAAAAGGGAUUGGAGAAAGCCUAGAACACUUAAACACUGAAGAAUGAGAAAAUCUUACUGCUCCUGGAUGCAGGAAAUAAAAGGAAAAAAACAUCUUUGAGAGAUACGAACUCCUUGCAUCCAUUUUGUGAUGAAGAUCAAGUUGAGGUUAUGGUCUUCUAAGUCUGUAGCUUCCAAGUAGCUGACCAGUAAGUAGAGAGAGAGGUGCAGUGGGGUUGAAGGAGGCACUAAGAUAUAGCAGAUUUGAGACGUCUAUCUAGAAAAACACUCUGUGUGUGAAUAUUGGCACAGGGAGCUAACUGAUAGAAAAGGAUCAGAAGCUUAUUAAGAUUUCGUAGCAUAGGUAUUGCUUAGAACACCAAAAGCUGGGACUACAUUUUUUUUUCUUCAAAGUUGAAUAUACUUGAGUUCCCACUCUUCCAUAGAUAGUAACAUGUUCCCAAAAUAACCUGUACCACCCUCAUGAGGGCAUAUCCCCUAAUGUCCACUUCAGAGGCAGCUGUGGGGGACAAUGAACACAGACCCCUUUCCUACUGAAGUCAGAACCCAGAGCUAUAGAAAUAAAUGGAAAGUGGUAUCUAAUUAGAAAACUUCCUAGAGUUCCCACUGUGGCUCCGCGGUUAAUGAACCCGACUAGUAUCCAUGAGGAUGCAGGUUUGAUCCUGGCCUCACUCAGUGGGUUAAGGAUCCCGCGUUGCUGUGAGCUGCGAUAUAGUUCACAAACGUGGCUCGGAUCUGUGCUGCUGUGGCUGUGGCGUAGGCCAGCGCCUGCAGCUCCGUUUUGACCCCUAGCCGGGGA
rnacentral:lncRNA from 1 species